CCUCUAUAAAAUAGAAUGAAACACUUAAAUUUAUUUGUAAGAUCUGACUAUAAAAUGAUUUAACAAUACAAGAAUGCAAUCCAUCAGUAAACACCACAUUGCUUGAAUAUUCUAGAUUAUUUGAUAACAGAAAACACCUCUUCUGACUCUCAGAUGUACAAUUAUCGUGUAGCUUUCCUGUCAAAUCUGCUGGCAGCCCAUGAUAUCCUCCUGCUGAGUGAGCCGUCUGAUUGCCUCCUUGAAGACAUCUUAUUGUUGAUCACAAUUUAAGUCAGUGUAUUAUUAAUUUUGUGGGUAACUUCAUUUGGUUUUGUUUUUGUGUCGUUUCUUUUUUAAAUUCUCUGUAGCAUUUCCAUGAAGAGAGCCAAAUGGAGGAUGACAAAAACAUCUUGAGCAAUAACUCCACAGGUGGUCCUGUUGAAUGUUUCCUUCAGUAUUUGCUGAGAAAUUAUGUCAUUUUCAGUGAUGGAAAAGUUAUUUUUUAAAAUUGAGUUAUCAUUUCCACAAACUAUAACAGUUAGCUCCCACAAAUAAGACCCCAUCUGUGAGUGAUCUAAUUCUGUGUUCAGUUCAAGCAGUAGUAAAUGGUCCUACUUUUCACAGCGUGAAUAUCAUCUAAAAAACACAUAUUUGUUUUUGAAUUCAUAAGACAGAAAGAAUAUUCUGUGAUUCUUUUUACUACUGAUAAAGGACGUUUUUAUUUUCACUUGGAGGUCAAUGGUAAUGGCUAGGUUUCAUUUCAUAAUUCGUAAGAACUCUGAGAGUAAUAUCUAUAAGAUAGAAAAAUCUAUCAAUGAAAAUAGAAGAAGGGGCCAGGGAUUUAGAUUCGAGGCCUUCCGCAUAUUGGGCAAAUGCUGUAUCCAUAGGACACAUUUUUCAUGACGAGGAAGGCUGGUUGAGUGAAAUCAAAUGCAUUGAGAAAAAGUAGAAAUGCAGGGCAUAAAGUCUUGAUCUUGUUCAACUUCCUCUUUCCAGUUGUUUUGAGGAUUAGCUAUUGGGUUGUUCAUUGCUAUAUUUAUAUUUAAUAAAAUUCUUUAUAUUUAAUAAAAAU
rnacentral:lncRNA from 1 species